CGCAUUAUAAAACCUAAUUCACAAAAACCCACUAUUUAUAUAUUUUUAUUACUACCAAGUCCAACUUUAUAAACUAAUUACACAAUCUAAUCCGAUUAAAAAUUAUAAAUCGUAGCUCACUUUAAACCUUUUUCAUAAGCUGCAUUUUGACUUGACAUAACAAUUACACCAUUAUUAAGUUUUUUCCAAAAUUUUUACAAAAUAAACUGACGACAGCAAUACACAAACUGUUCAAUAUUCAAAAAAAAGUAAGUAUAAAUUGAGGAUUAUCAAAUUAAUAAGCAAACUCCCCUGGAAGGAUAUAUAACACCGCCAAGCCUUUUAAGUUUCAAACGUAUGAUAAAUUAAAUAUUUAUAUCUAUAUCAUACUACUUAAGUAAUAAAAAUUUUUAAAAUAAAGAA
rnacentral:rRNA from 1 species